GACGAACGCUGGCGGCGUGCUUAACACAUGCAAGUCGAGCGGCGCGGCGAACGGGUGAGUAACGCGUGAGUAACUGCCCCCCUCCCUGGGAUAACAGUUGGAAACGGCUGCUAAUACCGGAUAGUGUGGGAUGACUCGGGGCCUAUCAGCUUGUUGGUGGGGUAGUGGCCUACCAAGGCGACGACGGGUAGCCGGCCUGAGAGGGCGACCGGCCACAUGGGGCUGAGAUACGGCGCAAACGCGUACGGGAGGCAGCAGGGGGGAAUAUUGCACAAUGGGGGAAAGCCUGAUGCAGCAACGCGCGUGCGGGAUGACGGCCUUCGGGUUGUAAACCGCUUUCAGCCAUGACGCGGUAGUGGCAGAAGAAGCACCGGCUAACUACGUGCCAGCCGCCGCGGUAAUUC
rnacentral:rRNA from 1 species